GAUGAACGCUGGCGGCGUGCUUAACACAUGCAAGUCGAACGGUGAAGCUGGAGCUUGCUCUUGUGGAUCAGUGGCGAACGGGUGAGUAACACGUGAGCAACCUGCCCCUGACUCUGGGAUAAGCGCUGGAAACGGCGUCUAAUACUGGAUAUGUGAUGUGACCGCAUGGUCUGCAUCUGGAAAGAAUUUCGGUUGGGGAUGGGCUCGCGGCCUAUCAGCUUGUUGGUGAGGUAUGGCUCACCAAGGCGUCGACGGGUAGCCGGCCUGAGAGGGUGACCGGCCACACUGGGACUGAGACACGGCCCAGACGCCUACGGGAGGCAGCAGUGGGGAAUAUUGCACAAUGGGCGGAAGCCUGAUGCAGCAACGCCGCGUGAGGGAUGACGGCCUUCGGGUUGUAAACCUCUUUUAGCAGGGAAGAAGCGAAAGUGACGGUACCUGCAGAAAAAGCACCGGCUAACUACGUGCCAGCCGCCGCAGUAA
rnacentral:rRNA from 1 species